GUUGUAAGCCCUUUGGUUCUUCCACACCUCCAUCGAUCCCCGCUAAAGACAAGGGGGUGCUACCCAUACCGACACCAGUUAAGCGCGUUGAAGCGAUCGUAAGGCCUGCUUAUGCAGAUUCGGAUUCAGAAGAAACAGUUGACAGUGACCCACAUGAAAGUCAGUUGGCUGGUGAUGGGAUUGGGGAUGACGGUGGCAUGCGUUAGCUAAAGUUUGGUCUAUGUGUUAUCCAAUAAGAU